AUCCUGGCUCAGAACGAACGUUGGCGGCGUGGAUGAGGCAUGCAAGUCGAACGCGUAAAGCCGCAAGGCGAGUAAAGUGGCGGACGGGCGAGUAACACGUAAUCAAGCUACCUGCGAGACGGGGAUAACUUCGGGAAACCGAAGCUAAGACCCGAUGGUCUUCUAGGAACGCAUGUUCCAUGAAGUAAAUGGGCGGGAUCCUCCGGGAUCGCCUGCUCGCAGAGGUGAUUGCGGCCCAUCAGCUAGUUGGUAGGGUAAUGGCCUACCAAGGCAACGACGGGUAGCCGGCCUUAGAGGGUGGUCGGCCGCACUGGGACUGAGACACUGCCCAGACUCCUACGGGAGGCUGCAGUCGAGAAUCUUCCGCAAUGGGCGCAAGCCUGACGGAGCGACGCCGCGUGGAGGACGAAGGCCUUAGGGUUGUAAACUCCUGUCGAGGGUUAUGAAUGGCGUUUGGUGAACAGCCGAACGAGUGACGUAAGCCCUGGAGGAAGCACCGGCUAACUCUGUG
rnacentral:rRNA from 1 species